rnacentral:rRNA from 1 species
AGAGCGAACGCUGGCGGCAGGCUUAACACAUGCAAGUCGAGCGGGCGUAGCAAUACGUCAGCGGCAGACGGGUGAGUAACGCGUGGGAACAUACCUUUUGGUUCGGAACAACACAGGGAAACUUGUGCUAAUACCGGAUAAGCCCUUACGGGGAAAGAUUUAUCGCCGAAAGAUUGGCCCGCGUCUGAUUAGCUAGUUGGUGAGGUAACGGCUCACCAAGGCGACGAUCAGUAGCUGGUCUGAGAGGAUGAUCAGCCACAUUGGGACUGAGACACGGCCCAAACUCCUACGGGAGGCAGCAGUGGGAAUAUUGGACAAUGGGCGCAAGCCUGAUCCAGCCAUGCCGCGUGAGUGAUGAAGGCCCUAGGGUGUAAAGCUCUUUUGUGCGGGAAGAUAAUGACGGUACCGCAAGAAUAAGCCCGGCUAACUUCGCGCCAGCAGCCGC